AUUGAACGCUGGCGGCAGGCCUAACACAUGCAAGUCGAGCGAGCGGCGGACGGGUGAGUAAUGUAUGGGGACUGCCCGAUAGCGGGGGAUAACUCCUGGAAACGGUAGCUAAUACCGCAUACUAUCGGAUAACCCAUAUGGGAUUAGCUAGUAGGUGAGGUAAAGGCUCACCAAGGCAACGAUCCGUAGCUGGUUUGAGAGGACGACCAGCAACACGGGGAUGGAGACACGGCCCAGACUCCGACGGAGGCAGCAGGGGGGAAUUUUGGACAUUGGGGGAAACCCUGAUCCAGCCAUCCCGCGUGUAUGAUGAAGGCCUUCGGGUUGUAAAGUACUUUUGGCAGAGAAGCGGUAUCUGCAGAAUAAGCACCGGCUAACUACGUGCCAGCCGCCGCGGUAAUUC
rnacentral:rRNA from 1 species